rnacentral:rRNA from 1 species
CCAGACUCCUACGGGAGGCAGCAGUGAGGAAUAUUGGUCAAUGGUCGGGAGACUGAACCAGCCAAGCCGCGUGAGGGAUGAAGGUACAGAGUAUCGUAAACCUCUUUUGUCAGGGAACAAAGGCGGGGACGUGUCCCCGGAUGAGUGUACCUGAAGAAAAAGCAUCGGCUAACUCCGUGCCAGCAGCCGCGGUAAUACGGAGGAUGCGAGCGUUAUCCGGAUUUAUUGGGUUUAAAGGGGGCGCAGGCGGUGUGUUAGGUGCGGGGAAAACGCGGGGGGCCCACCCCCGGCCCGCCGUUGAAACUGGCAGUCUCGAGUUGGAGAGAAGUAUGCGGAAUGCGCGGUGUAGCGGUGAAAUGCAUAGAUAUCACGCAGAACUCCGAUUGCGAAGGCAGCGUACCGGCGCCCAACUGACGCUGAAGCACGAAGGCGUGGGUAUCGAACAGGAUUAGAUACCCUUGUAUA